AUUGAACGCUAGCGGCAGGCCUAACACAUGCAAGUCGAACGAGUGGCGGACGGGUGAGUAAUGUCUGGGAAACUGCCUGAUGGAGGGGGCUAACUACUGGAAACGGUCGCUAAUACCGCAUACCAUCGGAGGUGCCCAGAUGGGAUUAGCUAGUAGGUGGGGUAACGGCUCACCUAGGCGCCGAUCCAUAGCUGGUCGUAAAGGAUGACAAGCCACACUGGAACUGAGAAACGGUCCAGACUCCUACGGGAGGAAGCAGUGGGGAAUAUUGCACAAUGGGCGCAAGCCUGAUGCAGCCAUGCCGCGUGUAUGAAGAAGGCCUUCGGGUUGUAAAGUACUUUCAGCGGGGAGGCGUUACCCGCAGAAGAAGCACCGGCUAACUCCGUGCCAGCAGCCGCGGUAAUAC
rnacentral:rRNA from 1 species